rnacentral:lncRNA from 1 species
UUAUCCGAUCGUAUAAAAAAUGAUUUGUGUAUGUUGGUUGAGAGUGCACGCUUAAUUUUCAUGCAUGAAUUUAAUGCUAGAAUAAAAGGGAGUUUCACCUAAUCGUUAUGAACUUAUAUUAACAAGUAGUGAAGGUUGCUAGUCACAAUCACGUUAAGUAAAUUCUUGGCAUAAGUUUCAUGCAAAUCAUAGUAACAAGUGCCUCGUCAAUGCUUAUGUUUUUCGUAGAACUUAAUGAUUCUUGCUUGUAUCUCUAUUAUGCAAUUCAUGUAGGGAACUUGUAGGGAAUGUUUUAGCUUGUCGUAUGCAAUCAUCCAACCCAAUAACUUGUGGAAAAACUGAGGGUUAAUUAGUGCAAUUCAC